AACAGAGAGUGAUAGAAUACCUAACCUGAUGAGUGUGAUCCUGGGCGGCCUGACUGUUUUCCUCAUAACGGUCAUCAUCUGUCUGGUUGUUAAAAACAGGAAACUUCAGAAAGCUGCCAACAAAAAACAGAAUCUACAACAGCGUGAGAAUCUGGACUCUGAUGACCUGAAAGCACUGAGUUUGUAUUCAACAACAAUAAGAAACAGGAGGCCUGCAUCAGAGAGAGAAGUGGAAACUCAUGUUGUUUAUGGUGCCAGCAG